AAGAGGUCAAGAAUGUUCCUGUCUGCAUCAGGUAAGAAAUUAAAUUAAAAAUUACAGUUAUAAUAUGAUAUCUAUUUUUCAUAUAGUGUAAGAAACUUUCGUAUUAAUUGUGCAGGAGACUGUUAAUUUAAACUUUAUUAUGGUAACGUUAAAUGCUCGCUCGUUUUGCAAAGUUACGUUUGGAGAUUCAUGUUAACAGUCAUUGUUUAAUGAAAGGCACAUUGGACUACGGGUUCGUAAUAUGUGUGACAUUUGCUUGCAGCACUGUAACGUAAAUCGUUAACACCGUGUCCUAAAUAGACGUGACACGCGGUAACGGGUUCCUUUUCAGUUUAUGUCCUUACGUUAUAGGACGGGUCAUUAUAAAUUAUGCCUUUCGAUUAUCGCAACGCCUCGUCGCGUUUGGUUAAGCACAUGGUGGAACAGUAUGCACAUCACUGUACCUAACGUACUGUACACCUGUGAGCGGCAUGACGAGACAAAAGACGGUAAAACUCAUUAUUAAUCGGCGAUGCUGUACAUUCUGGAUGAUGCACAGCCACAUUUUAUAAUACUGUUUUUUAUUUUCGUGUCGCGCCGCUCGCGUUCAAUAUAAAGUUAGACAAGACGCAAUGAAUUACUGGGAGAGUAACGUUAGUGGUCUAAUGGUAAGGGUCGAACUUCACGAACCUUUCACUGCUUGCAGUAAGGCUAAAGUGCUAACUUACGUGAAUAAGAUGGGUGUAGUUUUGUGCUACUAGCUGUAAAGUGUUUUUGCACUAUUGAGUUAUAAAUACUGCCCAGUAAUACUUAACUAGAUGUAAAUCACAAUUCUUGUGUCAAUGUUUGUUUGUAAUCUUUUUCAGCUAUCCAUCUGAAAAAGAAAAGCUGGCACUCUCAAAGGAGAUUGUGUUGUUGGAUUAUGGUCUCAUUUGGUCAAAAAGAGGGACAUGUACCGUAAGGAUGCUUUUACAUACUUCAUUUAUGUGUAUGAAAUUACUUACUUGACAAUGUGUAUAAAAACUGUACUUGACUCUAACUAAGUGCUAUUUUUGCAUUGAUCAUGAUAGGAGCAUUUUUUUUUAUUUUUUUUUGAUGGGCCAUCACACAGUGGAUUUAUAAAAUUAAAUUACAGAACAUCAGACGGUAGCUUCAACAGAGUUGAAGUUGGAGGAGAUCAUCAAUAAAGAAUGCCAUUGACCAAACCUUCAGGCAUCAAAGAAGAUGGAUACAGGGGGACAUCAAGUUUUCCAGACUUACCGAUGGGAAAGAAGAAAUGGGAAUGUGACAAUUAUUGAGAAACUCAGGGAAAAGCAUCUUUAGAGAAGAAAAUGGACAUCAGACAUUUAUUGAAGAAAGCUGACAGUCAACAUAAUGAUGAGAGCUGUGUUAUACAAUGUUAAGGAUACUCGUUCAUCUUCUGCUGUGUGAAUUCUGCUGUGUCAGUCCUGUGGGACUUGAUGCCGGCUGGUACCAGUGUGACGUCUUUGCUUACUAAAUUAUCAAAGGGUGUCUGAAAUCAGCUCAGCCACAGUUGGUUUCCAACGGUUCUUCAGGACAUGGAGGCCACUACGUAACUGUUGCAAUGAACGAUUCUUUUGCCUUUCCACCUGAUGUUGACAAUCUGACCUGUGCGGUACUGAAAGCAACUUAUAUCUUAAAAUAUAUCAGUGCCCUUUGUUUUGCCUCAAAAUGCACACCAGUAAUGUUUUUUGUUGAAACCAGUUAUAUUUCCUAAUUAAACUAAGGCCUAGUCCUGGAUUAAGCUAAUCCCCUGUGCGGGAAACCGCCCCUAAAUGUUUUGUGACGGAAAUUUCUUUGAAUACACUUGUCAAGUUCAUUUUAAGUAUUUUUCUAAAUGUAAGAUAACAUGUUAAUGUUUCAGGACAAGUAAAAAUUUUUUGAUACUUGCAUGUUGGAAACGAUUUCAGACAUUGUUCUAUUCAACAUGUUUAACACAGUUGCUUUUAAAUUCAAUUAAUUAUUUUAUAAAUAGUGUUUUAAAACGUAUCAAUGUAAUGUAUGUUUGAAGUAAUUAUACUUGCACUUACAUUUAUUUAAAUUAGCAUACAUCUAGCAACAUAAAGUGCUAGCAUAUUUUCAUGCAAGCAUUAAUUGUCAAAUAUUUGUUAUUUUACAAAUAAAUAG